GCCUUCAGAUGACCUGUUCUACUGGCAGGUCAGAGGCGCUGGAGCCUUUGACUAGAAGUGAUGAUAAGCAGCGAGGGAUAGGUUGAGGAGCAGUGAUGUCUCCCAACACCCCUAAACAGAAUAUAUUCAGACCUGCAGUGCAAAUUCCUCCUAUAUUCUUUGUAACUUUUUCCACCAAAAUAGAAUUUAAUCUCUACACAAGAGGCAGAAGCUUAUAAAGAUCCUCCCUCAAUAAGCACAGACAAGGUUCCAGCUGCUGUGACUGGGAAGGAAAACCUCAAAAAUGAGAAAUUAGGAAUUGUCUGCCUCAAGGUUGGAGGUGUGGCUGGGUCCUCCUUCUUGCACAGUUACUCUGAAUGAAAUCCUUUAGGAGACAUUCCAGGAGAAAUGAAGAUGUUUCAAUCAAACCAAAAAGCAAAUGCAAAGGACAUUUUGAGCAGAGUGGAGUUGUCAUGUAGAAACAAUUAUUUUCCUUCCUACACGUCUCUCGGAAAAACUGAUGUAUGCUCUUCUCCAUUCAAAGAUUAAAUUUUGAAGCAACUAUUUUGAAGUUGCAUGUUGUUAGGGGGUUUUGUUUGUUUGUUUGGGGUUUUGUUACAUU